UGCCCAGCAACUCCUAUCCCUACCUCUUCGCGGUAUCGGCCGGAAACUAUGAGCAACCUUAGGGGCUGUUCAUAAUCCACGUAGACUUUUUGAGGGGAGGG
rnacentral:ribozyme from 1 species